GUGCUCACUUUGGCAGCACAUAUACUAAAACUGGAACGAUACAGUGAAGAUUAGCAUGGCCCGUGCGCAAGGAUGACACGCAAAUUCGUGAAGCGUUCCAUAUUUUU
rnacentral:snRNA from 1 species